rnacentral:lncRNA from 1 species
UCUCUGCAACCUCCAUCGCCCAGGCUCAAGUGAUCCCCCCACCUCAACCUCCCAAGUAGCUGGGAUUACAAGCCUGCACCUCUAUGCCCAGCUAAUUUUUGUGUUUUUAGUAGAGACAAGGUUUUGCCAUGUUGGCCAGGCUGGUCUCGAACUCCUGACCUCAGGUGAUCCAAAAGCCUUGGCCUCCCCAAGUGCUGGGAUUACAGGCUUGAGCCACCACACCUGGCCAAUUAUUUUAUUAAGCCAGAUGAAUCUAGCUCUGGACAGUUAUAAGCAAAGAAAAACUAACGGAAAAAUACAGAGGCCUGAAGAAUCACAGAGGGAAACUCAUUUGUUCCUCUGGCAGCUCUCCCCAAGGACACCUGUGAGACAAAGUCAGAAGUGGCUUCCCUGGUGACCCAGAGAGACCACAGGGCUCUUGCCGCUGCUUCCUCUACUCCCGUAUUUUGCCGAGCUCUCUAAAUUGUCUCAGCUCUAGCCUGAAUCUAUGGUUUCAUGGAGAGCUCCCUAAAAUCUGUUGACAGAGGAAGAGAAGACUUGAACCUGGUUUACAGAUGGUACUGCACAAUAUGCAGGAACCACAUGAAAGCAGGCAGUUGAAGCACUGCAGCCUCUCUCUGGGACAUCUCCUAAGAAAAAUGAGGGAGCAUCCUCCCAUCCUCCAGGGUCUUUCUCUGGCACGAUCUAGGCUCACUGCAACCUCCACCUCCUGGAUUCAAGAGAUUCUCUCACCUCAGCCUCCCGAGUACCUAGGAUUACAGGUUCCUGCCACCAAGCCUGGCUUGUAUUUUUAAUAGAGACGAGGUUUCACCAUGUAGGCAAAGCUGGUCUUAAACUCCUGACCUCAAGUGACCCACCCACCUCAGCCUUCCAAAGUGCUGGGAUUAUAGGCAUGAGCUACCCCACCUGGCCUCGAUCUUCACAGAGAAAAAAGCCAUGUGAGGACACAGUGAGAAGCUGCUAUCUGCAAGCUGAGAAGAGAAACAUCACUAGAAACCAUCCCUGCUGGCACUUGAUCUUGACUUUCAGCUUUCAGAACUUUGAGAAAAUAAAUGUGUGUCGCUUAAGCCAGUUCAUCUUUAGUUAUUUUGUUAUGUCAGCCUGAGCAGAAUUAGACAAAUACUAAUAGUAAACUAUAAGGUAAACUGUAGGCUUUGGGUAAUGACGUGUCAAUAGAUUUAUCAAUUGUAACAAAUGUAUCACUGUGAUGUGGGACAUUGAUAGAGCAGGAUGUUGUGCAUGUGUGGGCUGUGUGGGAGCAAAUCAUAUAUGGGAAUUCUCUUAACAUUCUAUUGAAUUUUUCUAAGAACUUACAACUGAUCUAAAAAUAAAGUCUGUUUUUUUAAAAAAUAAUUGAUUUUCCGUCAUAUUAACAGAAUAAAGAAAAAAAUCACAUAGUCAUGUCAAUUUCUGCAGAAAAAUCAAUUGAUAAAAUUCAACUUUUAUUUAUAAUAAAACUUCUUAGCAC